rnacentral:lncRNA from 1 species
GUGAACUUGGGCAAGUGACCUAAUCCUCUGCAUUUCAUCUCUAAAUUGGGGAGAAUAGAAGCAUCUACUUCAUGUAGUAGCCAGGAUUAGAAGAGAUGGGGCCACUUGAGGGAAAAGACCUACCCAAGGGCACAUAAUCUGUACAUGAGAGAGAGCCAGAUGUAACAGACUGAGUACUGGACUUGGGGUUAAACAGACUGUGAAUCUUUCCACCCCAUUGGGAGGAAUAACUGGGCCCUGGAUAGAAUGUGAUGAAUGUAUAUUCUUAAUGAGAAGUGGAAAUAAUUUGUGGUUGAGAGCUGUGCCUCAGAUCAGAGUGACAGGAUACAUGGCUAGGCUAUAUUUUCCAGCAGAUUAAGAGCUGCGGCCCAAGACUCUGAAAUAUGAAGAAAAAAGGAGAAGAUGACAGCAUAUCUUUUUAAAGAAAUAUUUUCCAGCCAAAUGGUGUAGCAGAGGACUUCCAGGAAUUUGUUCUUGUUCUGUAUCAAAGGUGAAGAGUUCGUAGCCUUCAAGGAAACAAGAAACCAUGGGAUGGAGUGAAGGAAGGUGGCCUGGAACCAGCUGCUGAGCCUCUCUGAGCCCCAGUUUCCUCGUCUCUAAAAUGGGGCUGAUCUCCUCUCCCUCAGACUGUUGUUGCAGGAAUUAAAACAGGUGUUGAGUGGGAAAGCAUCAGUCCCAUAGCAAAUGGCCCCUGAGUAGUAGGAUCUGAGUUCUGGUUCUGGUCCUGCUGGGGUAUGGCUGGUUGAGAGGUCAAAGAGGUAAUUAAAGGGAUUGCCAGCUUCAUUAUUGGGAGCUGAGAUUCCAUUUUAGACCAAGAGUGUGACCAAGGUGGUAACCUUAACAUUUCAUUUCUUCAUAUUUAUUUAUUGAGCCGAUAUUUUUCAAG